rnacentral:sRNA from 1 species
AACUUACAUUUUAAAUAACACACAUGCAUCGACACAUGUACCGGGGUGCCUAAGCGAAAGCGAUGGUCGGGAUAUGGGAUGCAUGGAGGCCUAAC